rnacentral:rRNA from 1 species
GGGGGGGGGGGCAAGCGUUGUUCGGAAUUACUGGGCGUAAAGGGCGCGCAGGGCGGCCCGGCCAGUCUCUCGUGAAAUCCCACGGCUCAACUGUGGAACUGCGGGAGAUACUGCCCAGGCUUGAGUCCGGGAGAGGGUAGUGGAAUUCCCAGUGUAGCGGUGAAAUGCGUAGAUAUUGGGAGGAACACCGGUGGCGAAGGCGGCUACCUGGACCGGUACUGACGCUGAGGCGCGAAAGCUAGGGGAGCAAACGGGAUUAGAUACCCCGGUAGUCCUAGCUGUAAACGUUGAGCACUUGGUGUGGCGGGUAUCGACCCCUGCCGUGCCGAAGCUAACGCAUUAAGUGCUCCGCCUGGGGAGUACGGUCGCAAGGCUG